rnacentral:misc_RNA from 1 species
GAUGAAGAACGUAGCGAAAUGCGAUACGUAAUGUGAAUUGCAGAAUUCAGUGAAUCAUCGAAUCUUUGAACGCAUAUUGCGCUCUCUGGUAUUCCGGAGAGCAUGCUUGUUUGAGUAUCAGUAAACACCUCAACUUCCAUAUCUUUUUUGAAAUGGGAGUUGAACUUGAGUGAUCCCAACGCUUUUCCUCACCGAAAAGUGGCGGGUUACUUGAAAUGCAGGUGCAGCUGGACUUUUCUCUGAGCUAUAAGCAUAUCUAUUUAGUCUGCCUAAAAAACAGAUUAUUACCUUUGCUGCAGCUAACAUAAAGGAGAUUAGUUCUUGUGCUGACUGAUGCAGGAUUCACAAAGACAGGCUUCGGCCGACUUUGUAAACUCGAUCUCAAAUCAAGUAAGACUACCCGCUGAACUUAAGCAUAUCAAUAAGCGGAGGA